GAUGAACGCUGGCGGCGUGCCUAAUACAUGCAAGUCGAGCGAACGGACGAGAAGCUUGCUUCUCUGAUGUUAGCGGCGGACGGGUGAGUAACACGUGGAUAACCUACCUAUAAGACUGGGAUAACUUCGGGAAACCGUAGCUAAUACCGGAUAAUAUUUUGAACCGCAUGGUUCAAAAGUGAAAGACGGUCUUGCUGUCACUUAUAGAUGGAUCCGCGCUGCAUUAGCUAGUUGGUAAGGUAACGGCUUACCAAGGCAACGAUGCAUAGCCGACCUGAGAGGUUGAUCGGCCACACUGGAACUGAGACACGGUCCAGACUCCUACGGGAGGCAGCAGUAGGGAAUCUUCCGCAAUGGGCGAAAGCCUGACGGAGCCACGCCGCGUGAGUGAAGAAGGUCUGCGGAUCGUAAAGCCCUGUUAUUAGGGAAGAACAGAUGUGUAAGUAACUGUGCACAUCUUGACGGUACCUAAACAGAAAGCCCCGGCUAACUGCGU
rnacentral:rRNA from 1 species